UAUAUGGCCUUCAGGCUGGAUUGGGCCCAUGAUGCUUUAUAAUAUGGCCUAUGGGUUAUUGAACCAAUCCCAUGCACAGGCUCUGGCCCUGGCACUGUGCGCACGUGGCAAUUGGGGCUGGCACACAGUAUGUGCUGCCUGUGAACACAAGCUGGAUCCAGCACUACCCAUGGUGCAGGGGCUCCAGAGUAUGGGCUGCAUGCAGUGCCUCAGAUGGAUCCCCAGUGCUGUCUGCAGGACUGGGUCCAGCCCAUGCGCUGUGUCCAGCAAGCCCCUGGGCUGGUGCUUGUGGUGCACAGGCAGACCAAGCGCUGCGCAGAGAGUUGGACUCAGUUCAGCCUACAGACCAAACCCAGUGAUCUUUCUCUUGCCUGUGGGGCCAGAUGAGUUUGACACCCCAGGUUUAGAAGAAUAGCAUUAAUUUCCAGGAGCCUUCAACAUUUUCAUUCAGAAACUGCAGCUCUUUAUGCGGGCUGUUGUAUGAACCAUCCUUGCCCAUAGGCACCUGCAACCUAUCUUAAGACUAGAUCUAGCAGAGGUGUGAAACGAGCAGUGGGAUGGAAAGGGGCAGGAGGAGGGUGAUUGGUACUUAAGUGGGUGCAUGUAGGCUGUGGCCCUGUGUCCCCUGCAAUGGUUCUGAGUCGGUUAGACUUUUGUUUGGGGAAAGGGAAGUAUUUACAUUCAAAAAAAAAAAAAAAAGCUGCAACCAUCUUUACAGGUCUUCUGGCUAAUAAAACAAGUCCUGCUGAAAGCAGGUGCAGCUGUUGUUCCAAUUCCUUGGGACUAGAAGUUGUUGACUGGUCAAUAAACCACUGUCAGUGCUGGGACGGACUGGUGUCCCCAUUAGUGCCCUCUGGACAGAAAGCUAUGUAUGCAGCUGGAGCUGUGCUGCACAAACCUACAGGUGUAGCCAUUCUGAGUGAAGACUGAUGUAAGCCAGAAGAAGCCUACCCUGCUCUUUGUGUAGUACAGAGAAGCAUCUACCUUCAAAAGCUGCCCCUCUGGGCCUCUCCUUCACAAGUGAAGCUGUGGUUCUCCAGGAACGACAGGCCUGUGACGGGGACCAAGAGGAAUUCCAGACGGAAAGAGUCAUUCUCGCUGUCAGAUGUUUUACGGAACUUUCCAUAGAUCAUGUACACAGUGAUAUAGGCACACAGCAGAAAAAUGACCUGUGGAGGUAACUCCACAAAGGAGCUAAAGCAGUCACUUGGAGUAGCAUUCCUGACACAACCUUACCUUCAUGACGGUGUUGUAAAUUGAGAUGAAGGUGUUGAAUAGGUCAAGAUAACGGGUUGUGAAGACAAGAGCAAAAAGGAUCUGGCUCUUCCCAGAGAUACCUGCAUGGCAGGGGAGAUGACAGGUGUGAGAGAAAAGGUAUUCAGAGCUCAUCCUCUGCAUCUUCACCAUUGAAACUCCACUCCUUGUGCACCCACCCUCUCCUCUUGCUGGAAGGAUACCUUCUCCAGUGAAGAACAGGCUCCAGAACAAAAUAAAUCCUUCAAGCUCCU